GAUGAACGCUAGCGGCAGGCCUAAUACAUGCAAGUCGAACGGAUAUAUGUUUUUCGGAAUAUAUAUUAGUGGCGCACGGGUGAGUAACACGUACAUAACUUGCCCUCAAGCGGGGGAUAGCCUUGGGAAACUGAGAGUAAUACCCCAUAGAAUUAUUGGACGGCAUCGUUUGAUAAUUAAAACUACGGUGUUUGGGGAUAGAUGUGCGUCUGAUUAGCUAGUUGGUGAGGUAACUGCUCACCAAGGCGACGAUCAGUAGGGGGCGUGAGAGCGUGGCCCCCCCACACGGGUACUGAGACACGGACCCGACUCCUACGGGAGGCAGCAGUAAGGAAUAUUGGUCAAUGGAGGGAACUCUGAACCAGCCAUGCCGCGUGAAGGAUGACGGCCCUCUGGGUUGUAAACUUCUUUAGUCUGGGAAGAAAAAACAUAUAUUCAUAUAUGUCUGACGGUACCAGAAGAAUAAGCACCGGCUAACUCCGUGCCAGCAGACG
rnacentral:rRNA from 1 species